UCUGGUUGAUCCCGGCAGAGGUUACUGCUAUCGAGGUUCGACUAAGCCAUGCGAGUCGAAUGUAGCAAUACAUGGCGAACUGCUCAGUAACACGUGGACAACCUGCCCUUAGGUUGGGUAUAAACCCGGGAAACUGGGUAUAAUACCCGAUAGGUCUCGAUUGCUGGAAUGCAUCGAGAUUUAAAGCUCCGGCGCCUAAGGAUGGGUCUGCGGCCUAUCAGGUAGUAGUGGGUGUAGCGUACCUACUAGCCUACGACGGGUACGGGUUGUGAGAGCAAGAGCCCGGAGAUGGAUUCUGAGACACGAAUCCAGGCCCUACGGGGUGCAGCAGGCGCGAAAACUUUACAAUGCUGGCAACAGCGAUAAGGGAACCUCGAGUGCCAGGUUACAAAUCUGGCUGUCGAGAUGCCUAAAAAGCAUUUCAUAGCAAGGGCCGGGCAAGACCGGUGCCAGCCGCCGCGGUAACACCGGCGGCUCGAGUGGUAACCGUUAUUAUUGGGU
rnacentral:rRNA from 1 species